AGUGAACGCUGGCGGUAGGCCUAACACAUGCAAGUCGAACGGCAGCACAGUAAGAGCUUGCUCUUACGGGUGGCGAGUGGCGGGCGGGUGAGGAAUACAUCGGAAUCUACUUUUUCGUGGGGGAUAACGUAGGGAAACUUACGCUAAUACCGCAUACGACCUACGGGUGAAAGCAGGGGAUCUUCGGACCUUGCGCGAUUGAAUGAGCCGAUGUCGGAUUAGCUAGUUGGCGGGGUAAAGGCCCACCAAGGCGACGAUCCGUAGCUGGUCUGAGAGGAUGAUCAGCCACACUGGAACUGAGACACGGUCCAGACUCCUACGGGAGGCAGCAGUGGGGAAUAUUGGACAAUGGGCGCAAGCCUGAUCCAGCCAUACCGCGUGGGUGAAGAAGGCCUUCGGGUUGUAAAGCCCUUUUGUUGGGAAAGAAAAGCAGCAGGUUAACACCCCGCUGUUCUGACGGUACCCAAAGAAUAAGCACCGGCUAACUUCGUG
rnacentral:rRNA from 1 species